UGCAGUCGAGCGGUAACAGNGNGGUAGCUUGCUACNNCGCUGACGAGCGGCGGACGGGUGAGUAAUGCAUAGGAAUCUGCCCGAUAGUGGGGGAUAACCUGGGGAAACCCAGGCUAAUACCGCAUACGUCCUACGGGAGAAAGGGGGCUUCGGCUCCCGCUAUUGGAUGAGCCUAUGUCGGAUUAGCUAGUUGGUAAGGUAAUGGCUUACCAAGGCAACGAUCCGUAGCUGGUCUGAGAGGAUGAUCAGCCACAUCGGGACUGAGACACGGCCCGAACUCCUACGGGAGGCAGCAGUGGGGAAUAUUGGACAAUGGGGGCAACCCUGAUCCAGCCAUGCCGCGUGUGUGAAGAAGGCCCUCGGGUUGUAAAGCACUUUCAGCGAGGAAGAACGCCUAUCGGUUAAUACCCGGUAGGAAAGACAUCACUCGCAGAAGAAGCACCGGCUAACUCCGUGCCAGCAGCCGCGGUAAUACGGAGGGUGCAAGCGUUAAUCGGAAUUACUGGGCGUAAAGCGCGCGUAGGUGGCUUGAUAAGCCGGUUGUGAAAGCCCCGGGCUCAACCUGGGAACGGCAUCCGGAACUGUCAGGCUAGAGUGCAGGAGAGGAAGGUAGAAUUCCCGGUGUAGCGGUGAAAUGCGUAGAGAUCGGGAGGAAUACCAGUGGCGAAGGCGGCCUUCUGGACUGACACUGACACUGAGGUGCGAAAGCGUGGGUAGCAAACAGGAUUAGAUACCCUGGUAGUCCACGCCGUAAACGAUGUCGACCAGCCGUUGGGUGCCUAGAGCACUUUGUGGCGAAGUUAACGCGAUAAGUCGACCGCCUGGGGAGUACGGCCGCAAGGU
rnacentral:rRNA from 1 species